rnacentral:rRNA from 1 species
AUUGAACGCUGGCGGCAUGCCUUACACAUGCAAGUCGAACGGCAGCGCGGGGGCAACCCUGGCGGCGAGUGGCGAACGGGUGAGUAAUAUAUCGGAACGUACCCAAGAGUGGGGGAUAACGUAGCGAAAGUUACGCUAAUACCGCAUACGAUCUAAGGAUGAAAGCAGGGGACCGCAAGGCCUUGUGCUCCUGGAGCGGCCGAUAUCUGAUUAGCUAGUUGGUGGGGUAAAGGCCUACCAAGGCAUCGAUCAGUAGCUGGUCUGAGAGGACGACCAGCCACACUGGGACUGAGACACGGCCCAGACUCCUACGGGAGGCAGCAGUGGGGAAUUUUGGACAAUGGGGGGCAACCCUGAUCCAGCAAUGCCGCGUGAGUGAAGAAAGGCCU